rnacentral:rRNA from 1 species
UACGUAGGGUGCAAGCGUUAAUCGGAAUUACUGGGCGUAAAGCGUGCGCAGGCGGCUUUGCAAGACAGAUGUGAAACCCCCGGGCUUAACCUGGGAACUGCAUUUGUGACUGCAUGGCUGGAGUGCGGCAGAGGGGGAUGGAAUUCCGCGUGUAGCAGUGAAAUGCGUAGAUAUGCGGAGGAACACCGAUGGCGAAGGCAAUCCCCUGGGCCUGCACUGACGCUCAUGCACGAAAGCGUGGGGAGCAAACAGG